GCAGCAGUGGGGAAUAUUGGACAAUGGGGGCAACCCUGAUCCAGCAAUGCCGCGUGAGUGAUGAAGGCCUUAGGGUUGUAAAGCUCUUUCGGGUGGGACGAUGAUGACGGUACCACCAGAAGAAGCCCCGGCUAACUUCGUGCCAGCAGCCGCGGUAAUACGAAGGGGGCUAGCGUUGUUCGGAAUUACUGGGCGUAAAGCGCACGCAGGCGGUCCGUUAAAUAAGGAGUGAAAGCCCUGGGCUCAACCCGGGAAUUGCUCUUUAGACUGGCGGACUUGAAUCCGGAAGAGGGCAGUGGAAUUCCAAGUGUAGAGGUGAAAUUCGUAGAUAUUUGGAAGAACACCAGUGGCGAAGGCGACUGCCUGGUCCGGCAUUGACGCUCAUGUGCGAAAGCGUGGGGAGCAAACAGGAUUAGAUACCCUGGUAGUCCACGCCGUAAACGAUGAGUGCUAGUUGUUGGGGUGCAUGCACCUCAGUGACGCAGCUAACGCAUAAGCACUCCGC
rnacentral:rRNA from 1 species